CGGUCAAAGGAUAGGACUCGGUUCUAUUUUGUUGGUUUUCGGAAUCUGAGGUAAUGAUCAAUGGGGACAGGCGGGGGCAUUCGUAUUGCGACGUUAGAGGUGAAAUUCUUGGAUCGUCGCAAGACGGACCGAAGCGAAAGCAUUUGCCAAGUAUGUUCUCGUCGAUCAAGAACGAAAGUUAGAGGUUCGAAGGCGAUCAGAUACCGCCCUAGUUCUAACCAUAAACUAUGCCUGCCAGCGAUCCGCCGAAGUUCCUCCGAUGACUCGGCGGGCAGCUUCCGGGAAACCAGAGCUUUUGGGUUCCGGGGGAAGUAUGGUUGCAAAGCUGAAACUUAAAGGAAUUGACGGAAGGGCACCACCAGGAGUGGAGCCUGCGGCUUAAUUUGACUCAACACGGGAAAACUCACCAGGCCCGGACACCGGAAGGAUUGACAGAUUGAGAGCUCUUUCUUGAUUCGGUGGGUGGUGGUGCAUGGCCGUUCUUAGUUGGUGGAGCGAUUUGUCUGGUUAAUUCCGAUAACGAACGAGACUCUAGCCUACUAACUAGGCGUACCCGGUAUCCACAAUCGUGCUACCGGCGAUCAAAUUUCUUCUUAGAGGGACAGGCGGCUUCUAGCCGCACGAGACUGAGCAAUAACAGGUCUGUGAUGCCCUUAGAUGUCCUGGGCCGCACGCGCGCUACACUGAAGGAAUCAGCGUGUCUUCCCUGUCCGAAAGGACCGGGUAAUCCGCUGAACCUCCUUUGUGCUAGGGAUUGGGGCUUGCAAUUGUUCCCCAUGAACGAGGAAUUCCCAGUAAGCGCGAGUCAUAAGCUCGCGUUGUAUAUCCCGUCCGCCCCCCCUUA
rnacentral:rRNA from 1 species